UAGGGGUGUUCGCCAAUAGGAUUAAAACCUCUUUGACAGAGUGGCCUGCGGCGAUCUGAGAUCAUACCCUUUGAACCUGAUCCGGAUAAUACCGGCGUAGAGAAAAACAG
rnacentral:ncRNA from 1 species